rnacentral:rRNA from 1 species
GGGGCCCGCACAAGCGGUGGAGCAUGUGGUUAAUUCGAAGCAACGCGAAGAACCUUACCAGGCCUUGACAUGCAGAGAACUUUCCAGAGAUGGAUUGGUGCCUUCGGGAACUCUGACACAGGUGCUGCAUGGCUGUCGUCAGCUCGUGUCGUGAGAUGUUGGGUUAAGUCCCGCAACGAGCGCAACCCUUGCCUUUAGUUGCCAGCAGUUCGGCUGGGCACUCUAAGGGGACUGCCGGUGUUAAACCGGAGGAAGGUGGGGAUGACGUCAAGUCCUCAUGGCCUUUAUGACCAGGGCUACACACGUACUACAAUGGCCGAUACAAAGGGCAGCGACACUGCGAGGUGAAGCCAAUCCCGUAAAAUCGGUCUCAGUCCGGAUUGGAGCCUGCAACUCGACUCCAUGAAGUUGGAAUCGCUAGUAAUCGUGGAUCAGCAUGCCACGGUGAAUACGUUCCCGGGCCUU